rnacentral:lncRNA from 1 species
AAUAAUAUCAAUAGAUAUAUAGCAGUGAUGGUAGUAAUAUCCUUGUCUGCUUCCUCCUUGGCUACGGGAAUGUCUCUGAGGUCAUGACAUUGUUGUCAAGGACCCUCAGAUGGCAUCAAGCACGUCCAGUCCCUAAGCUGCCAGGUUGAAUUACUUGCCCUCCUGCAGCGAGAACCAGGGUGUCCUAAACUUUUCUCCAUAAGGUUGGCAAGAUCAGCCACUCCUGCCGUCGCCUAUCAGGCCACAGCCAUGCCAUCGUGCAGCUUAAGGUUCCUGCUAGUUAUGCUUUGUGCUCGCCAUACCAGCUGCUGCCGGACGGGCAUC